GUGCGCGCGCAACGUAAUAGUCAAAUUAAUUUAUCUUCAAUAACAUCAAAAACGUAUAAAGUCUGUAAGGAAAAAGAACCGCCGUGGCAUAAAAUGGAACUAAUAUUAUGACUUUUAUAUGACUCAUCCUAUAAAAUAUUUAUUAAGACGGAAUAUGAAAACAUAAUAUUCUAUAAUAAUUAACGAGUAUCAAGAUGUCAUAGUCGUAAUAUUGCUUCUCGUUCUCGACCGGUAAAGACGUAGACGUGUUUUGUGUUGCACGCAUUCCGCCGCUUCGCCGGACCCGAUCAAAGAUAUACUGAAGACUGGAAGUGGUAUUAAACUAAUACGAUGCUGCGUUCUCCAGUUAAAUCGUCAUCUCGUCAAUCGUGACCUCACAGAGACAGUCUCGACUAAAGAAAAACCUAUUCAACUAACACGCAAAAGGAAAGCUGAACCCGUCCUAGAAGUGAUAGAGACCCUUACAGCUGAUAUAAACUCUCAAUUUAAAAAAAUGCGAGAACAAUAUGCUUCCAAGUUCGAUGAACUAAGGAUGGAGAUGGCAGCGCGUGAUGCCGCAAACGAAAUUAAAUUUCAGGAACUGGCCACUAAAGUCGAAGAUUUACAAAAAAUAAAUAAAAAAAACGUCUCUAUCAUACAAUAUAUGCAGGGGCAAUUGGAAACCAUUCAAAGGUUGCAGAGAAUGAACCAUGUUGAAAUAAGAAACGUUCCUGUAACUCCAGAUGAAGAUGUACUGCAAAUUUUAAAAAGCAUUGGAGCCAAAAUCAAAGAGGAUAUCCGACGAGACAUAAGAACUGCUCACCGAUUACAUAAUAAAAAUAAAGAAAAGAUGCAUAUAAUUGCAGAAUUUAACAACACCACAAAAAAAAAGUUCUUAUCAUCUUAUAAAAUAUAUAACAAGGUCCAUACAGAUAAUAAAUUAAAUGCAGAUGAACUAGGAGUGCCAGGUAUGACGCGUUCCUUAAUAUAUAUGUCUCAGCUGAAAAGCAGAGAACUAUAAGUUUUGCUGGGUGAAAAAUCGUAAAGUUUUCAUUAAGAAAACUGAAGAGUCAACGGCUAUUCUCUUACGCAGCACUGACCAACUAGACUCCCUAAAGGAGGCUGGUAAAGUGAAUAUCUUGUGACUAGCCUGUAAAUCCAAAACAUAUGCAGGCUAUCAAAAUACUCACCCUGUAGGAUGUUAUAGUCUUAUUUAUAGUAUUACACGUUUUAGUUUUAAUAUAAGUAUUCCUAAUAUUAUUAAAAAUUUAUAUUUAUACUAUGUACAAAUGAGAUACUCUAAUGAUAAGAAGUUCAGCGAAUUAGAUGGCAUCAAGUACGGUCUCCUCAGCAAUUUCUAUACAGAAAUGUAAUGUAAAUGUAAUGUGAUACCACAAUGGCAGAGGUCCUAACACUCACUGAUUUAACUUGAUUAUGUCAUCAGAAGUAGUUGACUUGGCCUUGAACAUCGACCAUUUGUCAAUAUCCAAGGCCGUUAUUAUUGAGAAUGCAGAGGAGUGUAACCGAUAUAUCACACAAAGCAAUGACGACUCACUGACUAUAAUUACACAAAAUAUUUGAAGCAUAUAUAAGAACAUUGAUGAACUAAAUGUUUUGUUAUCAAGAAUGAAAUUAAAUAUUGAUAUCAUAAUACCUACAGAGUCUUGGCUUUGUAGUGAUAGGACUAACCCAGUGCUUUCUGGAUACAAAUCUUAUAAGACCUCACGACUACUAAACCAAAAUGAUGGACUAGUGACUUACGUUAAGACUUUAUUGUCUUUUUCGGUAAGUGAACCGCAUCUCCUUGAGGCGAACUGUCUGAUUCUCACAAAUGAAGAUACAUGCAUAAUCUGUAUCUAUAGGCCACCUGCAUUCAGAGAUACAAGCAAUUUCAUUUCAUCCUUAGAUUCAUUAUUGGUACAGCAUAAAUUGUUUAACAAUAUAAUUAUUGUAGGUGACAUCAAUAUUAAUAUCAGUCCUGAUAAUAUCAACACUAAAGCACAAGCGGAUGAACUUUUAUCCCUAGUUGCUAGCCAUGGUAUUCUACCUGGACAUACUUUUAGCACCAGAAACAACAGCUGCUUAGAUCACAUUAUGCUUAAAACUCGGCGAGAAAAUAUUGUGGCUGUGAUUAAUACAGAUAUCACGGAUCAUGCGUCAGUCUUACUUUACAUCUCAAAAACUAUAAUGCGAGAUAAUACUGAAUAUAAAACUGUGAAAAAAGUUAAUUAUGAAGCUGCUCUAGCAGAGCUACUAGCCACGGAUUGGAAAUUCAUUCUUGAUUCUGCAGAGGCUGAUGUAGCAACGAAUAGGUUUCUCAGCUACCUAUCAAAUGUUAUCAAACAAAAUACUGUGGUAAAGAGAGUUGAGAGCGCUAAAAGAAAAAUAAAGCCCUGGAUAACCCCAGGUCUAAUUAGAUCAAUCAGGAAGCGAGACAAUCUGCAUAAAAAGUGCCGUAAAGCCCCUAAUUACGGUGAAUUACAAAAGAUUUAUAGACAGUACCGUAAUAUGUGUAACUCCAUCCUCAAAACAGCCAAACGGAAAUAUGAACGAAAAUUACUAAAUAAUUCCAUACAUAAACCUAAAGAUAUGUGGCAUAACAUAAAACAAAUCUGCAAUAUAGGUAGUGGUAAAAAUAACGAAUGUAAAGAACUACUCAGCUUAUCCUCUUCUUCUACUGAGUCUGUAAAUAAUGUAAAUAAACACUUUGCCACAGUAUGAUCCUCCCUUGCAUCACAUAUAACUGCUAGUCUCUCAGAAGAAGUAAUGUCCAAAAAAGAAAGUGAAAUACCAAAUACAUACAUACCUACUACAACUCCUGCAUCAUCGUUUGCUCUUUUUCUUGUAACUGAAUCACAAAUUAUCAGCACAAUUAAUUCUCUCAAAUCUCAAAGUGCCACAGGAUGGGACGGAAAAUCAAAUGAUUUUUAUAAAAAUUGUAAAUAUGCUAUUUCCAAACCAAUUACACAUAUUUGCAAUACUUGUUUCGUGACAGGAGUUUUCCCCACUGCAUUGAAAAAAUCUAUCAUAUGUGCCAUUUAUAAAGGUGGAGAGAGAAACAGUGCUUCGAACUAUCGCCCAAUCUCCUUGCUACCUGCACUAUCCAAGAUCAUAGAAAAAAUCAUAAAUAAAAAGCUGAUGAUAUACCUAGAGUGUAAAAACUUACUAUCGAAUAAUCAGUUUGGUUUCAGACCCAAAAAAUCAACUGUUACCGCUGUAACAAAAUUUACUUAUGAGUAAGUCAAUAAACUGGAUUCACGUAAAAAGUGUUUGUUCAUUUUCUUGGAUCUCACGAAGGCAUUCGACAUUGUCUCUGUUCCCAACCUUUUACACAAACUAGAGCAAAUCGGUAUAAGGGGUCUUCAGCUAAAACUUUUUGAGAGCUACCUUACUAAACGCAAACAGACAGAAUUGACAAUUAUCUAAGUGACGAGGUUGUUGACCACUGUUGACUGUGGAGUUCCACAAGGAAGCAUACUCGGGAAAACGCUAUUCACUAUAUACAUUAACAAGCUUUGUAACAUGCAACUACCUAACACUGUCAUUUCAACAUAUGCCGACGACACUGUAUUAAUUUUUUCAGAAAGUUCAUGGGCAGACGUUAAGGAAAUAGCAGAAAAACUGGACUGUGCAGAGUAGCUAAAUGGCUGAAACCAUUUCCCCCUUUUCAAUUUCAAGCAGAAUCAGUCCCGAUGAGAAUUAUGAGAUUAAAAUACAUUCCUGUAACCAUUUUCCAAAUCGAUCUGUCUUUUGCAAUUGUCCAAAUCUUGAAAAAGCUGACCAUAUUAAGUACUUAGGAGUCUACCUAGAUAGACACCUGAGAUGGGACAUACAUAUCUAUAAUCAGACAAGUAGAAUUCGGAAGCUAAUAAACAUUUUUAAAAGCUUACGACUUGUUGCUGAUCCGGAACUUAUCAAAAAGAUUUAUGUAUCUCUGGUCCAAUCGCUAUUAACUUAUUGCCGGUAUGGGGAGGAGCCCCUAGAUCAUACCUAAUAAGUAUAGAACGGGCCCAAAGAUGCAUACUUAAAGUAAUGUUUUUUAAACGAUUUAGACUUUCUUCAAAGCAGCUGUACCGUGACAACAGACCAAUGAGCGUGAGACAGCUGUAUAUUUUACAUGUGCUUUUAUAUAAACAUAAUCAACUCCCGUAUAACAUAGUACGUGAACAAAUAAACCAAAAACGGCUGCGACAUAAUGUCUGUCAAAUUCCAUCAAAUAGAACAAAAUUUACUAAUAAACAAAUCCAUUUUUUAUCAAGUUCUCUAUAUAAUAAAAUAAAUAAAGAUCUGAAUAUUUUUGAAAUGACUAGAAAUAAACUCAAAAAUGAAGUUCAAAACUGGUUUCUUACAAAAGACAACAGAGAAACUGAAGAAUUGCUAGAAAUUAUAACGUAACACUUUUAAAAAUAUUACUCCUGUAAUCUCCCUAGUAAGUAAAUCUACUUUAGGAUGAAUAAAUGAAAUCCACUUAAAAAAAAUAAAAAAAAAAUGAUUAAAAAAAAAUUAUAAUUUAAAACUAAUAACUGAAUCUUGUCGCUUCUAGUAGCUGCUAAUAAUGUGUCGAUUCAUGUCGGUAUCAACACACUUAUUGUUUUAUUGAAGGUACAUCUAAUUUUGAUACAACAGUGAAGUAAAGAUUAUAUUGCGCAAUGAAUACUAUUUUUAUUAGAAACUGUGCUAAUAAUGUAGUGUGUUUGAUUAUUAAUUGGUAGACAUCCUGUUAAUUAAUUUAGUGUAACAUACCAAAGAUGUGAAUCAGGUUAGCUACCUUAUUAACUACUCAACUGCCGAAAUGGUCUGGGUAUACAUAUACAUACUAAAAGCACUACGGCUUGUACAAAUAUUAAUCUAUUUUAUUUAUAUCUAGGAAAAAAGUUUUCGUGAAAACUGGUAAUGCAGUCGUAAAGGCAUCUAUUCAGAUCGCACAGUUAGAACCAGG